rnacentral:rRNA from 1 species
UACGUAGGGGGGCAAGCGUUGUCCGGAAUCAUUGGGCGUAAAGAGCGCGUAGGCGGUCCGGUAAGUCGGUUGUGAAAACUGGGGGCUCAACCCUCAGAGGCCGACCGAUACUGUCGGGCUAGAGUCCGGAAGAGGCGAGUGGAAUUCCUGGUGUAGCGGUGAAAUGCGCAGAUAUCAGGAGGAACACCGGUGGCGAAGGCGGGUCUCUGGGCCGUAACUGACGCUGAGGAGCGAAAGCGUGGGGAGCGAACAGG